rnacentral:rRNA from 1 species
AUUGAACGCUGGCGGAAUGCUUUACACAUGCAAGUCGAAUGGUAGAGGGGCAACCCUUGAGAGUGGCGAACGGGUGAGUAAUGUAUCGGAACAUGCCCAGUCGUGGGGGAUAACGUAGCGAAAGUUACGCUAAUACCGCAUACGAUCUAUGGAUGAAAGCGGGGGAUCGCAAGACCUCGCGCGAUUGGAGUGGCCGAUAUCAGAUUAGGUAGUUGGUGGGGUAAAGGCCUACCAAGCCGACGAUCUGUAGCUGGUCUGAGAGGACGACCAGCCACACUGGGACGGAGACACGGCCCAGACUCCUACGGGAGGCAGCAGUGGGGAAUUUUGGACAAUGGGCGCAAGCCUGAUCCAGCCAUUCCGCGUGCAGGAAGAAGGCCUUCGGGUUGUAAACUGCUUUUGUACGGAACGAAACGCGCUGAGCUAAUACCUCGGCGUAAUGACGGUACCGUAAGAAUAAGCACCGGCUAACUACGUGCCAGCCGCCGCGGUAA